GGAGGGUGCAAACGUUGCUCGGAAUUACUGGGCGUAAAGCGCGUGCAGGCGGUCUGACAAGUCUCGUGUGAAAGCCCUGGGGCUCAACCCAGGAAGUGCACGGGAAACUGGCAGACUAGAGUGCGGGAGAAGAGGGCGGAAUUCCCGGUGUAGAGGUGAAAUUCGUAGAUAUCGGGAGGAACACCAGUAGCGAAGGCGGCUCUCUAGACCGACACUGACGCUCAGACGCGAAAGCGUGGGUAGCAAACAGGAUUAGAUACCCUGGUAGUCCACGCCGUAAACGAUGGAUACUAGAUGUUGGGGGCUUGACCCCUUCAGCGUCGCAGCUAACGCAUUAAGUAUCCCGCCUGGGGAGUACGGUCGCAAGACUA
rnacentral:rRNA from 1 species